rnacentral:rRNA from 1 species
GAUCCUGGCUCAGAACGAACGUUAGCGGCGCGCUUAAUACAUGCAAGUCGUAGCGAGAAAGGGGCUUACGGCCCCGGUAAAGCGGCGCACGGGUGAGUAACACGUAGGUCAUCUCCCCUCGAGUGGUGGAUAACCCUCCGAAAGGAGGGCUAAUACAGCAUGAGACCACGGCUUCGUUGAAGCUGUGGCCAAAGUAGGCCUCUCCACGGAAGCUUACGCUUGAGGAUGAGCCUGCGGCCCAUCAGCUAGUUGGUAGGGUAAUGGCCUACCAAGGCUAAGACGGGUAGCUGGUCUGAGAGGAUGAACAGCCACACUGGAACUGAGACACGGUCCAGACUCCUACGGGAGGCAGCAGUAGGGAAUCUUGCGCAAUGGGCGAAAGCCUGACGCAGCGACGCCGCGUGAGCGAUGAAGGCCUUCGGGUUGUAAAGCUCUGUGGGGAGGGAAGAAUAAGGUCCACCUAAUACGUGGACCGAUGACGGUACCUCCUUAGCAAGCACCGGCUAACUCUGUGCCAGCAGCCGCGGUAA